UGCGGAGGGUGCAAGCGUUACUCGGAAUCACUGGGCGUAAAGGACGCGUAGGCGGGUUGUCAAGUCAGGUGUGAAAUCCUACAGCUUAACUGUAGAACUGCACUUGAAACUGGCAGCCUAGAGUAUGGGAGGGGGAGAUGGAAUUAGUGGUGUAGGGGUAAAAAUCCGUAGAUAUCACUAGGAAUACCUAAAGCGAAGGCGAUCUCCUGGAACAUUACUGACGCUAAGGCGUGAAAGCGUGGGGAGCAAACAGGAUUAGAUACCCCCGUAGU
rnacentral:rRNA from 1 species